rnacentral:misc_RNA from 1 species
CACACACACACAUAUAUAUAUAUUAAAAUUUAAAUCUUAAAUAUAUUUGAAGUAAUUUUAAUUAAAAAUGUGUGACAACACUUCAACAAAUUCUUCCAUUUUGGAGUCAAAAUCAAAAUUUUUUUUCUUCACCAGAAUUAAUAAAUAUUAAACUAGUUAGCACAUAUAGUAUAGACAAUCUCUCUCUCCGUUCUUCAACAUGAAAUGGGUUGACAAAUCAAACAAUAUAAAAUCAGGUGUAAGAAAUAUAUAAGACCAAAAGCUCAAAAACAAAACAACAAAAUCUGGCUUGGUUUAUGGAUUUACCUGGCU